rnacentral:misc_RNA from 1 species
CCGUCUGCGCACGCGCAGGAAAGUCCGCCAUAUUGUGACAAAAUAAGGUUCCUCGUUUGGAAAUCUAAACAUCCCUUCCGGGUAUAAGCUCAUCGUGUUCCUGAUAGUAAACGACACCAUGGAAUCACUGUGGCACAUCCCAGUCGAAACUAUGUCAUAACUGUCACGGGAGGAUAUUUUUUACAAGCGUUAGGAUCCAGACUGUAAAGCAGGGGCAGGAUGCCGCCCCCGCCACCCCCUCCCCCUCCUGCCCCCGCUGCUCCCCCUCCUCCUCCAGCUGGAAAGUUUGGAAAGGGUGGGGGAGGAGGAGGCGGCCGUGGAGCUCUGCUGGGAGCUAUCCAAGGCGGAGCCAGGCUGAAGAAAGUACAGACCAAUGACAGAAGCGCACCAACUGUAGGGGGGUCAUCUAAGCCGGCCAACAAAUUUAACACUGUGGCGAGCCAUCCUGCUCGCAUGCCACCAAGACUGCCGAAGUGGGAGGGUUCGAAGGAUGAUGGUAAUACAAACCGAGGAGGUGGAAGUGGACCUGGCCCAGGAGGGGGUGGAGGAGGUAGCAGUGGUGGAGAUGCAGGAGGAGGUGGUGGGCCACCUGUAGGGGGUCUCGGCGGCUUGUUCGCAGGAGGAGUACCUCGACUACCUAAUAGGGGCAGAAGUGGAGCACCCAAUAGAACGCCUGGUCCGGCAGCUCCAGUUCUCCGUCCCCCUGGCCCCAGGCCACCGAUGACCAAUGGUCCAUCUCGGCUCAGUAACGGAACAAGUGGAGGUCCCCCACCACCUCCGCCACAAAAUAAGAAAUUUUCAAUCCCACAUACCACAGAGUCUUCUAGCCGGCCUACUCACCCAGUGCACAACAGUACUAACGGGGUAGGCCCAGGGGUCCCAAUGAGGCAGCAACCCCGGAGCCAACCUCCCCCUCCCCCUGCACGACCAGCAUCGGGGAGCAUAUCAGGCAGACCCAGUAGCAUGGUCGGAAGACCUCUACCACCCCCUCCUCCCCCACAUCAGAGUCAACCCCCACCACCCCCCACCCGCUCUAAUCCUCCCCCACCCCCUAGCCGACCUGCAGCCCCUCCCCCACCAGCUAGGACUACAUCUAAUCAGAGUGGGGGUACUAUAGGACGAUCUUACGGGCCUCCGGCGGCACGCCCCCCUCCCCCUCCGAGGAAGGAUGUACCCCCACCCCCUCCCCCUCAUGCACCUAGUGCCCCCAGCAGAGGCCCCCCUACUGCUCCAGUGUCAAACCCUCCGCCCUUGAGGAGGCCCAGUUCUUCAAGCUCUUACGGAUCAGGCGGUGAUGAUUUUGAGAAGAAUUUCCGAUUCCAUAGUGUAAAUGAGCUGCCUCCGCCAGAGCCCUUUUCAAAUAGUAAUAAAACAUACCCCAGUAGAAAUCCCCGAGGUAGUGAUGGAAGUCAAAGAAGAGCACCUCCACCUCCUCCCCCGCGGUGAAAACAGACCUGGUUGACAUAGGAGAAACAUAGAAGUCGUAUACUAUUGCUGUGCAAUUGUGAUCCUGUUGUAUAAAGAAGACUUUGGGAAGCCAUCUUGGAUCACAUCUGCCUCGAGAUAAUCUAUGUGCUCAUCGCGACCCCUUAUCCAGGAUCGGUUGAUUCUUCUGGGACAUUGGUUUCAUUUCUUUUUAGGAAGAUUUUGUUUUUCUUUCAUAUACAAUUUGCAACAUUGACCAUGUAUGAAUAAUCGAUAAAUGUGUCAACGCUGUCAUCGUGGAGGUGGAUCAGUGGAGCGUGUCGUCAAUGUCAGUGAUUGACACCUGCCAUGUUUAUAUCAAAACAGGACUACGGCAUUCAGUAAUGUUUCCAGGAAACAGAUAUGGUGCUGAGUAACGAAGCACAAUACGUAUGUCAAUAUUUCUGUCUGGACACUGGACGCUAGUUCGCUAUUGACGUGUAUAUAGGUGGCGCUCCGCUGGACGUGUAUAUAACACAACCAACACAGUCAUUCAUCUCUGCUUGUAGCUUCGAUGUUGGAGUGAGAUUGUGAGGUGAUUGUAUUCGCAUGUAUCCUGUGUUUGGACCUAUACAUUGCAUCUGUUUAAUUAUUUGCAUUAUUCCAAAUACUGCUGAUGUUACGUUCUGUUUGCAUGUGUAGCUUGUAUUCAAAAAUUUUAAUUCCAACAUUUUGUGCUUAUUUGAUAGAAUGUGCGUUUGUGUAAGCUGUUAAAAUAUAUUACUCUGUUUCGUACAUGCAUUACCGCUAAUUUUUAUAAUGAAUCUGAUAUGACAAAAUUAUUCACUUAUAAAGUUAAUGAGGGAUAAUAUAUAUAAUUCUAGGUGAGAACUAUCUCAAAGUAUUCAAUUUCCCACUAUGCAAAAUAUGAAUAACCCUUUUCUACUUCUUAUAGCUACUCAGAUGUAACAGUGUAACAAUGUCACCUUCUAGCUUUAUACCAAGGCACAGGACUAAGGCCCUUCCAUAUUCGAUGUAGAUACAUAGGGCAAACUGAUGGUGCAGAAUCAUUCCAUUCCAUGUAUUUAGUGGUAUUCAUUUGCAUGAUUACAUGUAUUUAUCUCCCUUUGGUGUUCCUAUAGAUCUGAGGCUUUUGUGUCAGUUAUGUCCCUUGACGAGGAAGACUGGAUGUCAACAUGCAUUUAUAUAUACUUUUUUUAAAUCGCUUGUUAACAUCUGUAGAAAGUAAUGUGUUUUAUUUGAAAUUGAUCAUUCUCUUAGCAUCGCCAUCUUGAGAUCGCACAUGCUCUGGUGUGUUUUGAUGAAGGUUUGACCUCAAGGGGAGGUAACUGACACAUGGGACAGGAUUUAACACCAGCACUGUAUUCUAUUGGUGAAGGAAAGAGAAUUGCUCAAACUGAGACUUUACUGUGAGUUCAAGCCAAUGCAAGAAUGCCCAUAUUUGUUUGAAAUUUGCUAAAGAUGAUGACAGGAAUAGAUGCAGUACUUUGCUCCUGACAUACAUGGAUUAGAUACGCUAGAAAUACUUCAGUAUUUCAGUGUCAGUGACUUGCAUGUUCCCUGUGGCGUGGGCAGCGCAUACUUCACUGUAUGGAGUUAUCUCCCUUAGCUGUGCCAGUAUCUGCUAGUCAUGGGUUUGAAUGCUACAUUUGCACUGAUUAUGGUAUUUGGUGUGUCAGCAGAAGAAUUGUGCUUGUUAGCGUCAGUGAUGAGUGUCCAUGACAAGUGGCCCUCUCGGCUUUCUGAGGGCACCCUCAGUAACAGAAAUACUGUACAGUGACUAUUUACCUGUCAGUUCUGUAUAAUUCCAUAUUGGCUAAUCCUUAACUUGCAUUCAUAUUCCCAAAUGAAUUAGGCAUGCCAGAAAGCUAUGAUCUGGGCCUCAAGGCUCGUCAGCACCAUAUUCAUACUCGUGGGUUUCACCAAAGUGGUAAACGUCCGAGACCUGCAUCACUUUGUGCUGUCCUCCCAAAUCGAGAUAACUUGCCAUGUUAUAAGCAGUGGCGUAUCCAGAGGGGUUGCACGCCACCCCUUUUUAAUACACCUUGCAUGUUAACUGUGCCCUUGGCUGAAAGUAAUUAAAAAAUUAUUCCUGGCGGACUCCUGUUACGGAGAUACAACCAUUACAGAACAAUAUGUAUUGAAGAUACCAGCUGAAACAGUGGUUUAGACAUUUGUAAAAAUAGAUAUAUGUUGAUAUAUUAUGUGUAUUAUAUCAAUGACAGGACCAUCUGUGAUGGGUAUUCUUGUAUUGGCAGAAUGGCAUCCAAGGGAUGAGGGAUGUUACAUGUAGCAUGGCUUCACAUCAGACCUGGGACUGAAGGGUGGGCCGAAUUAUAGACAGAGGACUUGAUAUUUCGGGAUGUCCUCUGGUCUGAAUUCAGAGUAUUUUACUUGUUCUAAGAUAGGUAUUUUUCAAAACUAGACAAAUUUAUUCAACUUUCCAGUUAGAAAAAGGAGAAGGUCAAUGUACAUUCUGUUGAGCUUAGUACAGUGAAUAACUGGUCUUUACUGUGAAAACUAGAAAGUAGGGCUGGGACGAGUCUGAAUUUAUUACCCUGGUACCCACCCCCAUAUUACCUGACCCUACCCUACCCGGGUACCCACUGUAGGUCUCAAGAGAGAGGUACAAAAUGUCCGAUUGGGCAUUUUGUUACCAUAGCACUGGCAAAACGUAUUUAGAUACAUGUAUUAAACAAUCUGGUCAUGUAUACACUGAAGUUGACUCAAGUUGUAUCUUUAUUCAAAGAUAUGAAAAGUCAGAAGGAAUGCGAACAUUUGUGACUUGUAGUGUAACCAUAGAGUUCUAGAUACUUUUUUUUGUCAUUAAACAAUAUAUCACGUAACUAACCACGGGUCCAGGUAGUCCUGUGGGUACCCGGGCCCUACUCAGUACCCACCCGACCCAAGUACCUGAGUUACCUGUCCCAGCCCUACUAGAAAGUCACUGUCUUUAGAGAUUUACUUAAGGUGUUUUUGAUAGUAUUUAAAACAUUAUUUAGAUAUUUUAAGCACAUAUGGAUGAAACGUUCAGCUGUAAGAAAACAUAAUUUCUAUGUUAGUCUUCUUGUUCUUUGUAGCAUGUGGAUAAAAAUUGCAUUUAAGUAUCUCCCUCAAUUUCUACAGCGACAUUCAAUUGAUGAUGUACAGCGUUAUGACUAUAUACAUGAGGUUAUAAUGCAGUGAUGUCAUAGUUUAAUGAACAGUGCAGUGCUAAACUGAUUCACUGUUGCCAUAACAACAUGGAUGUUUCAGGGGCUAGAUAAGUGUUUCAUGGGCUAGGUGGAUGUUUCAGGGGCUAGGUGGAUGUUUCAGGGGCUAGGUGGAUGUUUCAGGGACUAGGUGGAUGUUUCAGGGACUAGGUGGAUGUUUAAGGGGCUAGGUGGAUGUUUCAGGGACUAGGUGGAUGUUUAAGGGGCUAGGUGGAUGUUUCAGGGGCUAGGUGGAUGUUUCAGGGGCUAGGUAAGUGUUUCAGGGACUAGGUCAAUGUUUUGGGAGCUAGGUGGAUGUUUCAGGGGCUAGGUGGAUGUUUCAGGGACUAGAUGUAUGUUUCAGGGGCUAGGUGGAUGUUUCAGGGGCAAGGUGGAUGUUUCAGGGGCGAGGUAAGUGUUUCAGGGGCGAGGUAAGUGUUUCAGGGACUAGGUGGAUGUUUCAGGAGCUAGUGUGAAGCUGUGUGUACAGAGAGUGGUUCAACAGAGAUCAGACUUCCAGGGCUCACUGUAUGUAGUGGAUAUAGUAGUUAUUCCACACUGUGUAUAACCAUUAUACAAGGCAACAUGACAUAUCUUUUAUAUUGUACAGAUUGGGUGGCACUCGACUGCCACUGUUGAUUUUAAUAGACCCAACACAGGUUGACUAUGUUACAGAUGACGAUAAGGGAAACUGUAGUCACCUAAUAAGCACUGGCUUGCAAUAUUAUUGAGAUUUAAGGUCCCACUUGACACUAUGUUCAACAUUAUACAAGGGAGUUUGAUGAAACUGCACAUGUCUAAAUAUAAAUAUGUCUGUAUUAUUAAGAUGAUCUUUCACAAGUCUGAACGUUUGCCCCAGUGUCUUUUGUAUUAUAAUCACCCUCUUUGCAUUAUAAAUAUCAGUAGAAUGCCUGUGUGCUUACAGGGGAGAACUAUGGUGUAUGUGGUUCAGGAUGCGUCUGGAAAGGGGAAUUCGGGGCUGAUAGUUUACAGUGACUGGAUCAACAUUUAUCUUUCAGUGUUUGAGAAUCCAACCAUCGUUAAUGAAAGCAAAAUAUAUUAUUCUUAAUCAAUGUUCUAGUUGCUACUAGCUGCAGGAUUGCUUAUUCGGUUUUAAGCCGAAUUUACUCACUAAUUUGAAUGUUCAUGGACAUGUAGGCUCCUAUGUAGACAUGUUAGCCAUUGUUUAGAUAAGAUUAUCUUUCUGAAUACAUUAUUUGCAGUACUUAAGAGAAUAAUCAUUAUUAUAAAUCACUAAAUUUAAGAUGAAAAGGAACAGCUUCUGCUUUGUUGCUUCCCUUAGAUGUAACAGGAUCUCCUGUGUGAUUGAAUCCCAGAUUCAGACAGUCUAUCAUCACCUUAUCCUGUGGAGUUCUUGAAAGUGUAAAUGUUGAAGACCUGCAUCACUUUGGGCUUCCCAACCACAUUAAUCUGUGGCCUGACUGAUAUACUCUUUACCUGGAGUCUUGACCCGGACCUAUUGCAGAUAUUAUUAGUUUUAACUCACCAGUCCUGUCUGUUUCCAGAUGGAUCUUGAAUACCAAUCUUACAUUCUGUAGCUCUCCUAGAUAAAACUGAUCAUAUCACCCGGGAAUUAUUGUGUGUUAUUUAUAACUGAUCAUAAUAUACACGUAGUGAUGCAGUUUGGCUGUCUCACAGUAUGGAUUAGGGGCGGUCGGGUAGCCUAGUGGUUAAAGUGUUCGCUCGUCACGCCGAAGACCAAGGUUCAAUUCCCGACAAGGGUACAAUGUGUGAAGCCCAUUUCUGGUGUCCCCUGCGGUGAUAUUGCUGGAAUAUGCUAAAAGCGGCGUAAAACCAUACUCACUCACUCACUCACAGUAUGGCUUGGGAGAGACUGAAUAUGGUUGGUGUUUGUCUGGGAAGUUUUAGAAUAUCCGAUCCAGUUCUUGUUUGUUUGCAUGCGAUAUAGCAACAAAAGUCCCCAUGGUAUUGUAAGCAUAAACAGAGGUAUCUUCACCGACUCUCCUCAUCUCCUUGUCAGGGUCUCAGUAUGUUUGUUUGUUUAUUGUUUAACACCACACUCCGAAAUAUUCCAGCUUUGCGAUGUUGGUCUGUAAGUAAUCGAGUCUGGACCGGUCAAUUCAAUGAGCAAUAUCGGAGCCACAAUCUAUGCCGCUGGCCAAGUCACCGAGUCUUACUACCUGCAUUUAGUCCUCUCUUACAGCGAGGAGAUGGUCCUAGGUGCAACAAAGAUUUCCCACUGUCCAAUCAAAACUAAUCAUGUCGAGGACCAUUUUCAACGGAUGGAUGGUUGCUCACAAUAUUGAUCACAGGAUUGUGUGGUCUUGAUUAUUUACAGGCUGCAAUGAUACGGCUGGAAUAUUGCUGAGAGCAGCAUUAAACAACAAACAAACAAAAUGAUGAGUCUCAAUUUGUCAUGUAUAUUGUACCGAGACCUUACUUACAAGAAACAAAUUGUAUCACGACAAUUGUAUGUAAUUAUGGCCUUAAUUAAGACAAACAAUGUUCGUCACAGCAAUGAGAUGGUACACAGGCUUGGGUUGUAUAGGGCAGGCUUGAGGAGUUUGUGAUGACUUGGGCUUGAUCAAUCACACGAUGAAUAAGACACGUCAGAACCAAACUGAAGACAUCUGGCUCAGUCAGGGUAGGGUGUCAUUCCUCUUGAAGGCAUUAAAAACUGGUCUCAGGAAUUGUUUUGUGUUGAAGGUUUCUAGGGUGUGCCAGCUAAGUUAGAGAUUUUUUUAAGCCACACUGUUUCUAGAAAUAUGGGUGCAGUGUACCUGAUUUACCAUGACUUUGUUGAGAUAUUUUACUGAUUUGCUAUCCCUUUUCACCCUCAUAUAGCAAUGCUUAUCAGUGGAAUCGGAAAGUUAGUAUGGAAAUCAGUGAUGUUUUCUGUUUUUGUAGUAAACUUUAGGAGACCAAAACAAAUCUUUAUCUUUCUGAGUGAGAGUUAAGACAACAACGUCUCGAUGCUUCUUUUAAUGUGAUUAAUCACUGUGCCUUUCACUAUUGCUGGUGUAAGUGUGAAUGUUGGUAGUGUAUAUUUUAGCCUGUCAGGUAAGACUACACGUAUGAGAUUCAGCAGUCAAAAUCUAAUGUAUUUCAAGUCCAUAGUUCACAAGGGGGCACGGGUGGCCCAGUCGUCUAAGGCGCCGCGAUUAGCUGUGCAGAGUUGCGUCCCUUGGGCACGCCAGAAACCUAUGAUUGUGGGUUCGAAUCCCGGUUCGCCCCGAUUAUGUUUCUAGGUUUGUCAGCACCAUACCCGUGCCCGUGGGUUUCACCGAAGUGGUAAACGUCUGAGACCUGCAUCACUUGGGGCUUUCCUCCCACAUUAAGCUGACACGCCGUGAUAUAACUGGAAUACUGUUAAAAGCGGUGUUAAACCCAACUCACUCACUCACUCACCAUAGUUCACAGAACAAAUCCUAACACACGGAUCAGGCCAACCAUUGUGGGGUUUGUGGUUUGACCCGUUUUGAUUUUUGUUCCUGUGAGACUUUCAAGAACAAAUGUGAAGGACGUUUGAGUGUAACGAUUGCCAAAAUGUGUUGCUUUCAAAGCUUCUUGUGUUUAUAUAUUUGUAAUUGUUUAUUUCCAAUUGUUUAUUUGCAAUUACUGACAUGCGAGUUUGAUGAAUUAGGGAUACUAUUUGAUGUAAUAUGUUUGAGUGCAAAUUAGACCAUGAGAAAUUGGACAUUGAUGCUGAUAUUUCCCCACAAACACUUCACUGGCAUAAUACUGCUACUGUUCUGUUUCAAGGGUUAGAUUGUUUAUAGAGCCAGAAAAGUUUUUUUGCCUCUUUUCAAAUGAGCUCGCUCUUUAUUUUUAGCCAAACUAAAACAAAUGUGAACAAGCUGUUUGGUUUAAAUUAAUAAUUUUAAACAGCUGUCUGUUAGUUAUUUUUUAAACCUUUCUAAUGGUGCUUAGGAUAUUAAAACAACCCUGACAACAUGUUUGGACUAAUAUACUUUGUGUGUGUUUCAUUUUGCCUGGGAAAAUUUGUAAAACAAGAAUGAAGUCAGCCUGGCCUAGUUUACAAAAUAUGUUUCAGAGAGUUGUCACAAUUUAAUUUGCGGUCAAAUCCAUAGGGAUUCCUGGUUAGAGAAUGUCCCCAGUAAUCUCUGCUGGUCAUAAGAGGCACACCAAUGGUGGUCAGGCUCAGUGACUGCAUGUCAUUGUACUCACAAUGUCGAUCACUGGAUUGUCUGGUCCUCGGGUUAUUUACAGGCUGGGUCAAUGCUCAGUGUGAUAUUAAACUAGUAAACCAACAGUUCUGCCCGUGAGUGCAUGUUUCUAUUUGCCGGGUAGUUUCCCUUGCGUUCAUGGUGUGCAUUUACCCUUAGAAUAAUAACAGUAGCUUCAGAUAGAGUAGAAGGAAAACGUCAAGCUUGGUUGGGAAGGUGUUGUGGUCUUGCUGAUAUUUGCAUUUGGAUCGAUUUGUUUUGAACUUCCUGAUAUUAUCAUGUACAUGAACCAUCCUUUGCUCUCAUAGAUUUUUAAUGUGAAUGAAGUGUGAUGGGCUGGUCCCAAGUUUAAAUUUGGAUUAAUUGGUUUAUAAGUAAUGUGGGGUGAUUUUUAAGCCUAUUAUUUAGCCCAUGUGGAGUUAGCUCAUUUAAGGUGGUGUCUGUUUUGCUUGUGAUUGAGUACCUGGUACUUAUGAUCGGACCAGGUCUUUGAAAAAAGAAUUUUCAUAACCAUCGUAAGAAAUGUCUUGUGGUUGGGGAGUACACGGUUUGUAUAAUCAACCAAGGAUUGUAUAAUUAAACAAUGUAUUGGGAAAAACAUUUGAAUGACAAUCAUUCUAAUAUAGAGAAAACUUUGAGUAUAGGAUUGUUGUUCUUUUGGGAGGCCAGUUUAUAGUGAUUUUUUAGCGCUUAUUAUCAUGUUUCUGAACAUUGCUGUGUGUACAUGAUUUGCUUCCUGAAGAUGUUAUAGGAAAAUCACCAAUACUCUUGCUUUUUCAAAGUGAUGCUUAGGUUACAUUCCCCAUUACAACCUCGACAUAUUUGGUCAGUUGAAACAAAAUGAAUUGAAAAAAUUAUUUCUAUGAAUUGUCAUUAACUCUUAAUAGGUCUUGAAAUGGAUUCAUGAAAAAGGCUUUUGACCAACAGUUCUCCUUUUCAUAACAAAGGCAAAAGAUAUCAACAUUGAAACUAAAAAUCUGUUCCAGUUGGAAGCUAAGUAUCCAUGCUCCACUUGGUCCAAGGGAGGCAACUCUUAGGGUGCACGAUCAGAGUAGCACUUGGAUUGUCAUUUUGGCUUUGGUUUAUAGUUUGGUCUUCUUUAUUUAUAUCCUUAUGAAGAAAUAUUCCAUUUACUCGACUAUCCAAAAAAACAAUGAUUUCAAUCCCAGGGCAUGGCUUAAUAUUAUAACCUUAAGACUCUUGUACAACUAAUGUGAUGUCACAUUUGAAUUCAUGCAGAGGAUGUCGAAGGAAGAAACCUUUACCUACUUCUGUUAGGCUUAAAGAAAUAAAGGUAUUGGUUCUCAGGCAAUAGUUUUUGGGGCAGGCAGUGUCUUAUUUAUUUUUAUUUGGUGGGGAGGGUGUGUGUUGUUGAAACUAGUAUGUUUUCAAAUAAACAGUUGUGUAACCAAAUAAACAAUUGUCAAUUGUGUACAAUCCACCUUGGAAAGGGCCUCCCUACAUAAAUGUAUUCCUUCAUCAGUAACAUCCAGCAUUUGACUACCAUUGGACUUGGAAUAUUUAUGUUAAAGUAGAGCAACAGUCAGAACUCGAGAUUUAUCAUGCAUGACUGAUUUGGAAAAGUACAAUGUAUUAGUAUUACUGCGUAAUUACAAAAUAUUUUUGUCAUUGUAAAUGUUAUGAAAUAACAAUGACCUAAAUGUCAAUAAAAGUGUUUUGAAAUGUGUUAAAUUAUCACUCAUCCAAUAUUGUCCAAACGAUCAGAAAAUUCAUGAUUUUCAUGUUCAGUCUGUAAAUUAUGUAUGAAGUGCAAGUUACCUAGAGCAUGUUGUAAGUGGGUGACUGAGAUGUCAAUGUGCUUGGCUUCUUUUCCGUUGCAAUGAUUGUUCGGUGCCUGCUCCCUAAUUAAUUCGUUUUUAUGUGCUGCAAUGUUUAGGGCAAGCUUAGAUAAGGUACGUGUUUGUUAAAUACCAUAGCAGUUGACAAGCCUGAACCUAUUCUAGACCAUUUCCAUGUUUAUAUUUUAGUGAAUUACAUUUUACUUCAACACAGUAGGUUGUAUUUACAGUUAGAAAUGAGAUUCAGUACACAUUAUCUCAAAAUAAUCAAAUUCUUGAUCUUAGUGUCUAAUACCUCUUUAAGUAGUUCCAUUAAUAUUUCUUGAUCUAUCUUUUGAGUAAACGUGUUUCUUUCCUGUCAUUACUAAUCCCUCCUUCAACAAACACAGCAUGUAUCUUGUGUAUUACGAGUCUUGAGUGUCUGUUCUCUUGUGAUUUCAGGGGCAAUGUUAUAUACAUGCAAACAAAUCUAAUUUUUGAAUAAACUUUCAAAAUGGA